rnacentral:rRNA from 1 species
UACGGGGGGAGCAAGCGUUGUUCGGAUUUACUGGGCGUAAAGGGCGCGUAGGCGGUCGUGACAAGUCACUUGUGAAAUCUCCGGGCUUAACUCGGAACGGUCAAGUGAUACUGUCGGACUAGAGUACAGAAGGGGCAACUGGAAUUCUCGGUGUAGCGGUGAAAUGCGCAGAUAUCAGGAGGAACACCGGUGGCGAAGGCGGCUACCUGGACAGAAACUGACGCUGAGGCGCGAAAGCUAGGGGAGCAAACAGG